UCCAACUGGAUGGCUACUCACUUCCUUAAACUCAACCUGUCCAAAACAGAACUUCUAGUUUUUUCCUCCCUCAAGUGCUGCUACUCCUGUGUCUGUCGCCAUCCAAGUCAACGGCGCUACUAUCACCUCUACCUCCCAGGCUCGCUGCCUAGGAGUUCUUUUUGAUUCUGAUCUCUCUUUUACUCCCCAUGUUCAAUCGAUAGCCAAAUCCUGUCACUUCCA